rnacentral:lncRNA from 1 species
UUCAGUUGCUUUAUGAUCGUGAAGAGAAAACAUUUCUUUGAUUUCUUCUGUAAACACUAUCUUUAUUCUCUUGCCUGAUCUGGUUUGAUUUCAAGUCUGUAUUUAAAAAUCUAAACUUGAGUAGCCCGUAGUGGCUGUAGAUAGGCAAGACAGAUGAAGCAGAAUCUACAUUUUCUUUCAUUUUUAAAGUUCCCUCUUGUAUGUACCAGUUUUAAGCUCUAUAUACUGCUUGUGUUGUAGCAACUCUCUCUUUGGAAGUUAUUGCUUUAAAUGGCAAAGUAUGAUUCAAUUAUACAUGUGCAUAUGUCGUAAAAUUUAGUCAACCUUUAUCUUCGUUUUCUCAUUCAAACCUCCAAUUCCUCUAUCCUUAUUGGAAGAUACUGCUUCGUAUACUUGAAUUUAGUGGCGGGAUAGAUUUAGCAAUAUAGUAUGUAACAGUAAAUGAAAACAUGAAGUUUACAAUUUUUUUUUUUAUUUUACGGUGGAUAUAUCUUGUAUUGAUGUAUGUGGUUGUGCUCGUGUCAAUGCAAUUGAUGUUUCAUUCACUUUUAGCUUUCCGAAGUGAGAAAAUAAGCCUCACUUCUUCCUGAUGUGUAAAUAUACUGAAGCCUGCUAGUAUCAUCUAAGAGUUGGUGUUUUUCCCUCUCUGACACCCUAUGUUGUACUGGCUUUGAAUCAUGUGCAUAUGUCGUAAAAUUUAGUCAACCUUUAUCUUCGUUUUCUCAUUCAAACCUCCAAUUCCUCUAUCCUUAUUGGAAGAUACUGCUUCGUAUACUUGAAUUUAGUGGCGGGAUAGAUUUAGCAAUAUAGUAUGUAACAGUAAAUGAAAACAUGAAGUUUACAAUUUUUUUUUUUAUUUU